ensembl:antisense
AUUAUGGGUAGCAGGAACUGCGCAAACUCCACCGAAGGAUGGCUUACAGCUACACCCGGAGAAAAUAUGUCUUUAGCGGGUAGGGUGUGAGAAGCCUAUUUACAGCCCGAGGAGUCUGGAUAGCCCUCGUGGAAACCUGAUUACUCUGUUUAUGACGACUCAGACAGCCAAGGAGAAGCCAUGGCUCUGUCCAAUAGCUCAGCCUACGAGAAAAGCAUCGCCCAUCCCUGGAGACCCUGAAUAGAGUGACAGGGCUGGGGACACACAAAUCACAGGCCACUAGCAAACAUGGCGUGCAACUGUCUCUCCAAGGCCCCAUCUCUAUCAACAUAAACAUGGGGAAGAAAGACUCCGACUCAAGCCGAGACGAGGCCAGUUCAGAUUCAGCCCAGCCGCGCAGCAGCAGCAGCCGGCUUCUGUGGCCGUUUUAGAUUUUGUGGCACUUUGGGUAUGUUUUGACUCUCCCUCCUCUAGCCCGAAUCACUUUGUCCUCCUGCUUAGAAAGGGAGCUGCCAGAGUAGCAAUGGGGUUUUGUUGUUGUUGGGCCACAAACAAUAGUGCUCCCACGGGACAGAGUCUUGGGUACUGGUCUUGCUCAACAGAGCAUGUUCCUGGAAAGACUAGGGUAAAUGGACUCAGAAAGAAAAGACCCCGGGACAAGCCCAAGGCACGACGUCAGAGAGAAAUGCAUUGUAGCCCAUUGUCUUUGGAGGUCUCGGUAAGCAGGGGGCAGAAGUCCAUGACUGCUCUGAGGGGCUGCCCUGAGCCCUCACAGAGCCUGUGAAAUAGUUUUCAAUGGCAACUCAGCUCCGCUGCAGGCUCAGCUCCUCAGCAGGCUCACCUUGUCUUCUAGUGUCAGCAUUUUUACAUUUCAGGUUUCCCAGAGAGAGAAACUGCCUGCCUUCGAUUCCAGAACAGGCCAACUGGUCGCCAGCACUAGACAGAAAAACUCCACUGAAUAAUGCAUACUGGUAAUAAUAGCAUCCUGGUAACAUAGGACCGAGUGGGAGUCCCUGAUCCCCCACAUAGCCUUGAGGAGGUUCACAUGACCAGCAUGACAUCAUAAAUCUUGUAAUGAUAAAACCAAUCAAAUGAAGCUUCUCCCCUCCUGUGGGAUGUGCAAGAAGCACUCCGGAUGCCUGUGUCCAUCUUGGGAGAUGUGCUGCAGUGCAGAAGAACCCAAGUGUCCCACAGUCCUGGAAUCUUUACCUUGUUCCAUGGCUGCCCACGGCUAGGUAGGUCCCUGUCUCACUCUUCCUCCUCUUCCCUCUUCCUCCUCCUCCUGAGGAGUUUAGGGGUGAAGUGUAGGGAGAAGGAAGAGAAAUUUACUAAGGCAGAGUCACUAUAAGGAGAAGUCCUCUGAGAACCUGGAGGCAGGGCUCUGUGGCUCCAGGGCGAGGUGUGGGGCUCCCAAAUCUGGGUCGCUUCAACCUUAAACCACCUCCAUUUUCCAGCACUGUUACCUCAGGAGAGGUACCAAGUCUCUCUUGGCCCCAGUUUCUCAACUAUACAAUAAGGGUAAUAAUAGUACCUAUGUAUGGGGCUGUCUGGAAGACUAAAUGAGCUCAUAUGUUGCAGAAAGGCUAAGAACACAUUAAACACAACAGACAUGUUAGGCCUAGUCUGUGGCAUCUGGAAUCUCCAUCUCUUACCAGCUGUCUAGGUAGAAAGCAUAGUAUUUUAUAAGCUCCCCACCUCUAACCAUUUAGGAGAAGUGGUCCUCAGAGAUUCGUUUGGAUUAACACAGAAUGUCAGAACCAUCACCCCUGCUCAUCACCAUAUGUCUCGUGUUUGCCUGGCUCGUACAGGGUCUCCACGGGAACCUCAGGUCACCCAGAAAGAAGUAGAUAUGACAAGCAGACCAGUGUAAGGAGAACGUUGGCACAGAAGCCUGGGCAGAGUCACAGCUAGCACAGAGUGGUAGAAGGAUUUAUUACCCAGUAACGACCGUUGUUAGUUCUGUGGCCAUAACUAGUUAGGACCAUGUGCAAAGCAUUGUCACAUACAUCAUCCGUGUAGGUGAUAGACACUCAGUGGUCUAUCCCAUGCUGUGGGAUAGCCUCAUCAUCUGCCUUGGGCACCAGGCUAGGAGGCCAUGUGUAACAUGCCAAGAUGUAAGGUAUAAUACAGAGAAGUUACAACUCAUCUGAAAACUUAGAAUUUUUCCUAGCUCUUGAACUCAUCAUUUGGAAAGUUACUAUCCAUGUGUCUGUCCAUAAAGGAAUGGAGUUUUAGGGAAGUCGAAUAAACUGUCUGUGGCCACACAGCUCUCAGCUCCAGCACUAAGACCUGAAUUUAGAUCUUUGACUCCAAGGCCACAGGCUCAGUGGUCAAUGCUAGAGGGCAGGAAUGAGGUGUGGGACAAACUCAGAACUGCCCUGCCCGUGGCUCUCACAGCCUUUUCUAAUUGCCCCCAAAGGGGUUCAACUGAUACCAGCUCUCAUCUUACACCCAAAGCUCAAGGAGACGUCAGUGUGCAGGCUCUGACCCCAGACUGCCUGUCACCCAGGCCAGCCUCCUCCCAGCCUGGGUCAGAGUGAAUGGGAGAAACCAUUUUACUAACUAACUAACUAACUAAAGUAUGAACUUCCAGAUAAGCACUUUUUCCUAAGGGACUUUUAAACACCAUGAAUAAACAGACAUAUAAAGGGCAGCACGUGGAGACCUGCCCAGCAGAGCGUGUGAGGGGAGAGGGGAGGAGGCCACAGCUGAGCCGCACACCAGGCACCUCUGGCAGGGCUCGACCGGGGGCAUUUGUUUUGCUGCAGGUUUUGAUGGCAGACACGAGGGCAAU